rnacentral:rRNA from 1 species
GAUGAACGCUGGCGGCGUGCCUAACACAUGCAAGUCGAGCGGUAUAUAGUGGAAUGAAACUUCGGUCGAGUGAAGCUAUAGAGAGCGGCGGACGGGUGAGUAACGCGUAGGCAACCUGCCCCAUACAGAGGGAUAGCCUCGGGAAACCGGGAUUAAACCUCAUAACGCGAGGAGUUCACAUGGACUUCUCGCCAAAGAUUCAUCGGUAUGGGAUGGGCCUGCGUCUGAUUAGCUAGUUGGUGAGGUAACGGCUCACCAAGGCGACGAUCAGUAGCCGACCUGAGAGGGUAAUCGGCCACAUUGGAACUGAGACACGGUCCAGACUCCUACGGGAGGCAGCAGUGGGGAAUUUUGGACAAUGGGGGCAACCCUGAUCCAGCCAUGCCGCGUGAGUGAAGAAGGCCUCGGUUGUAAGACUCUUCGGUACGGAAGAAAUACGCCGCCUCCUAACACAGGACGGUGGAGUGACGGUA